AAUUUUGGACAAUGGGGGCAACCCUGAUCCAGCCAUUCCGCGUGAGUGAAGAAGGCCUUCGGGUUGUAAAGCUCUUUCAGCUGGAACGAAACGGUACGUCCUAAUACGGUGUGCUAAUGACGGUACCAGCAGAAGAAGCACCGGCUAACUACGUGCCAGCAGCCGCGGUAAUACGUAGGGUGCGAGCGUUAAUCGGAAUUACUGGGCGUAAAGCGUGCGCAGGCGGAUUGUUAAGCAAGAUGUGAAAUCCCCGGGCUUAACCUGGGAAUGGCAUUUUGAACUGGCAGUCUAGAGUGUGUCAGAGGGGGGUGGAAUUCCACGUGUAGCAGUGAAAUGCGUAGAUAUGUGGAGGAACACCAAUGGCGAAGGCAGCCCCCUGGGAUAACACUGACGCUCAUGUACGAAAGCGUGGGUAGCAA
rnacentral:rRNA from 1 species